rnacentral:rRNA from 1 species
GUAGUCAUAUGCUUGUCUCAAAGAUUAAGCCACGCAUGUCUAAGUAUAAGCAAUUAUACCGUGAAACUGCGAAUGGCUCAUUAAAUCAGUUAUCGUUUAUUUGAUAGUACCUUACUACUUGGAUAACCGUGGUAAUUCUAGAGCUAAUACAUGCUAAAAACCCCGACUUCGGGAGGGGUGUAUUUAUUAGAUAAAAAACCAAUGCCCUUCGGGGCUCCUUGGUGAUUCAUGAUAACUUAACGGAUCGCAUGGCCUUGCGCCGGCGACGGUUCAUUCAAAUUUCUGCCCUAUCAACCUUCGGUGGUAAGGUAUUGGCUUACCAUGGUUUCAACGGGUAACGGGGAAU